AACGCGAAGAACCUUACCAACUCUUGACAUCCCCCUGACCGGCACAGAGAUGUGCCUUCCCCUUCGGGGGCAGGGGUGACAGGUGGUGCAUGGUUGUCGUCAGCUCGUGUCGUGAGAUGUUGGGUUAAGUCCCGCAACGAGCGCAACCCUUGUCCUUAGUUGCCACCAUUCAGUUGGGCACUCUAAGGAGACUGCCGGUGACAAACCGGAGGAAGGUGGGGAUGACGUCAAAUCAUCAUGCCCCUUAUGAGUUGGACUACACACGUGCUACAAUGGACGGUACAAAGGGCAGCGAAGCCGCGAGGUGGAGCCAAUCCCAGAAAGCCGUUCUCAGUUCGGAUUGCAGGCUGCAACUCGCCUGCAUGAAGUCGGAAUCGCUAGUAAUCGCAGGUCAGCAUACUGCGGUGAAUACGUUCCCGGGUCUUGUACACACCG
rnacentral:rRNA from 1 species